CCAUUGACCAACUUUUUAAGGGUACUUUUAGGCUACGAGUGUAAGGUUGAAUCCUGGUGCUGUUAAACUUCCCUGCCACAAACGCAAAGCAAGACAGAGGAGUUUGUAUUACAACUGUGUCAUAGUGUUACACCGAUGCAAAACAUAUAGCCAGAGGGGCCGCUAAUGAUUACAGUAUAAAACUCGGCUCCAAAAGACCAGGCAGCCGAGAAACUAGCCAUUAUUAAUUCAGUGGUCAGGCACUUAUCCAACUCUCUCUGGACUAUAAAACAAGAAACACAUAUCACUCCAACAUAAAGAUUUUUAAAAUAUGAUGCUUUAUGUCCCAAUGCUGAUUAAAAACUUUUUCUCUCUCUUCUUUUCAACACGGCUUUCACUCUUUAUACAGCUGAUUUCCUUUCGGGCACCAUGUUACAAGGCUAUUAGCAGCAAAUUAUCCCAGCGAUUUCGCUAUUACAUUACAAAUUUAUUUUACGUGGCGCACCGUCAAAGCGUUCCUGCCGCUUUUUUUCACGGAAUGGGUAAUUGCAAAGAUCCAGAUGGAAUAGGUCUUCUAGAUUUGACAAGGCAUUUGUCAUUUUAAAGUACCACAUACCGAAUUUAAGACAAGCCUUUUUUGUGAAUCAAGUUUCCUAACAAUUCAGAUGAUAUUCAAUACAGUGUCAGCAAACUAAUUUCUGGCGAUGAAAGAUGUUUAAAAAAAAAAAAGUUUGACACGAUUUUACUGCAGGACCGUCAUUAUUGAGGUUGAGAACUUUAACAGGAUGGCGCUACGUCGUAAAUCUUACCUUACCGUUUUACUAAAAGAUUUUGCAUAUUAUUUGAAGGCAGCAAGCAGAUGUGGGUGAAGAAUAUGCCAUCAAUACACAAAAUGUGUGUUCUUACAAGCCUGAUUCAAGCAUCGACUCUGCUCGCCUGCUCCUGGGUUUUAUUUAAAGAACAAAUAUUGGAACAUAGUGUGAGCAGGAGCCGUGUCCACCGUAAACAGCAGCAGUUUGCACUUGGUAGAUACGGUACUGUACAACUUACCGUGAGGUACAGGCGAGCAGAACACACUGGCGUUCAACAUUGAGGUGUAAUGGAGGUUGUAGGCAUGCAGUCGUUAUUUUAACGGGAGCACUAACAAAAUAAAAUAAAAAUGCAGCAAUGCCA